rnacentral:rRNA from 2 species
CCUGACGACCAUAGCGGUCUGGAACCACCUGAUCCCAUCCCGAACUCAGAAGUGAAACAGACCAGCGCCGAUGGUAGUGUGGCGUUGCCCAUGUGAGAGUAGGUCAUCGUCAGGCUCCUAAUACC